CGAACGAUGAAGUUCCUUCGGGAAUGGAUUAGUGGCGAACGGGUGAGGAACACGUGAGAAACCUGCCUUUCAUUCUGGGAUAACACCGGGAAACCGGUGCUAAUACCGGAUACUCCAUCUUGGCGGCAUCGCCGAGCUGGGAAAAAAUUUUGAUGAAAGAUGGUCUCGCGGCCUAUCAGCUAGUUGGUGAGGUAAGGGCUCACCAAGGCGACGACGGGUAGCCGGCCUGAGAGGGCGACCGGCCACACUGGGACUGAGACACGGCCCAGACUCCUACGGGAGGCAGCAGUAGGGAAUAUUGGGCAAUGGGCGCAAGCCUGACCCAGCGACGCCGCGUGAGGGAUGAAGGUCUUCGGAUCGUAAACCUCUUUCAGUAGGGAAGAAGCGAAAGUGACGGUACCUAAAGAAGAAGCACCGGCUAACUAUGUGCCAGCAGCCGCGGUAAUACAUAGGGUGCAAGCGUUGUCCGGAAUUAUUGGGCGUAAAGAGCUCGUAGGUCGUUUGUCGCGUCGAUUGUGAAAAUCUGAGGCUCAACCUCAGACCUGCAGUCGAUACGGGCAAACUAGAGUGUGGUAGGGGAGACUGGAAUUCCUGGUGUAGCGGUGGAAUGCGCAGAUAUCAGGAGGAACAC
rnacentral:rRNA from 1 species